GGCCAUACCACGUGGUUUGUGACGUCAUUUUGGCUAGCACGCUAAGUAGAAAUUUGUCAACAUUGGCCCCGCUUAGAAAUUUAAAAUCCACAUACACAUGAUGACGACCGAAGAGCGAUAUAUUUGUGCCAUAUGCGCCAGAGGGGUACAAGCACAGGCGCUAUUUGGUUUACCAUGAAAGAACACACGCUGGGAUGUUACCCUUUAACUGUUGCGGCGUUGGGUUUUCAUCAAGACAACAAUUACAAAGACACAGGUGCAAUGUACACGGUGACGGAAAAACUAUCUUUGCCUUUAUUGUGGAAAAGAAUUCGCAACGAAAGUAGAUUUAGAUGCCCACUCGGCCCGAGAACAGCGCACUCGAAAGAUCGAGUGCGAGAUAUGCAACCACAAGGCCACAACACGGGCUCAUCUCCGAGAACAUCUCAAAACACACA